CAGUAGCCACGGGAAUACGAAGGGUGCAAGCGUUACUCGGAAUUACUGGGCGUAAAGCGUGCGUAGGUGGUGGUUUAAGUCCGUUGUGAAAGCCCUGGGCUCAACCCCGGAACUGCAUCCGAUACUGCCGUGCUAGAGGAUUGGAGAGGUAGCUGGAAUUCUUGGUGUAGCAGUGAAAUGCGUGGAGAUCAAGAGGAACACUCGUGGCGAAAGCGAGCUACUGGACAAUAUCUGACGCUGAGGCUCGAAGGCCAGGGUAGCGAAAGGGAUUAGAUACCCCAGUAGUCCCUGUCUCUUAUAC
rnacentral:rRNA from 1 species